GUUUAGGGAUAUCCUUAUCUACUAUUUAGGAAUUAGUUUAAUUUUGGUGACGAUACUCCCUGCUAGCCGCCCAUCUGGGAAACUGUGUUUUUUAUCCCAUGAGCCGUACAUUUGUAUAUUGAGCUUUCUCGUUAAUCUCAGUGAUCAUACUCUUAGAUAGCCGCUCUUUCCCCUUUCCCUAGCUCUGAGCAUCUAAGUGACCGUACUCUAACCACUCAUAAGACCAUUGGGAAGUAUAUUUAUCUACCUAUAGGCUGGCGAAUGGGGUGUUUGUAUCGAUACAUGGUACACUGAUCUACCGAGUUUCUCCUCCUUCACCAUAUUUAGCUACUCAGCUUAGAGUGCUAGUGGCUGCUUUAGAAUCUAUUUUUAGUUUAUGGUCCUUACGGGGUUAACUCAGACGGCUUAUGGUGCAAUAUUAUAGAUACUUACGUUUCUCUUUUUGUAUGUCCGGCUGGACCAACCAUAUUACCCGUCUCGUUUACAGUAAGGCACUAUUGUGCUCAUCGUUGGAGAAUCGGAGGGAGCGCUGUAAUUGGGGCUUAGAACUUCAGUAACGGCUAGUAUUCCAACUUAUGACAUUAGUUUGGCUUUAUACUGCCGCUGUUCCCCCCAUGGGCUCCCCUAUAACCCCUAUAUAUGACUUACAUACAGAGAUUACCCUCAAUGGACAACACGUAUAUGUGCAAUAGUAGCACGUUGUUUCACUAAGGGCUAUAUUGUUAUCUAUUACUGAAUUAGGAUACAUUGUAUUUCUCAGGUCUCAUGCUCUUUAUCUCAUAUUGCCGGCUACAGAGACACUUGGUAAUUAAAAGCUACUGACAACGGCCAAUAUAGGUAACUUUAGGUACUGCAGGAUUACUACAUUUAUUGUAGACUAACGGAUGUUCCUUUGUAUUUUAAUAUAUUUUUUUGUAAAUAGCACUGUAUUUAUAUUCCCUACACUGGUUACAACUGGGUUUCUGGUUGUUCUUUUCUUUCCCCAAGAGGGACCAAUAAAGAUUUAUGUUUUUUAGUUCUAUUUAUGCUCCAUGACUAGCAGCUCUUUGCUCUAUACUAGUGGAGCAGCUAUAUUUGGGGUAUAGAGACUGUAUUUGGGAGCACUUGUUUAGUUAACCCAUUCCAGCCUCUUCACCAAUGGUAUUAACAUAUGGACAUAUUUAUUUUACCCUCUUGCAGUUUAUCCAGCAGUUGACAAGUGCUGCUGUAAGCUGGAGAAACUACAAGGGAGUAAAAUAAAUAUGCUCAUAUAUUAAUCCUCUAAGAUCCUCUAUAUGCUUUGUGCC